rnacentral:rRNA from 1 species
AAAUUGAAGAGUUUGAUCAUGGCUCAGAUUGAACGCUGGCGGCAGGCCUAACACAUGCAAGUCGAACGGUAACAGGAAACAGCUUGCUGUUUCGCUGACGAGUGGCGGACGGGUGAGUAAUGUCUGGGAAACUGCCUGAUGGAGGGGGAUAACUACUGGAAACGGUAGCUAAUACCGCAUAACGUCGCAAGACCAAAGAGGGGGACCUUAGGGCCUCUUGCCAUCGGAUGUGCCCAGAUGGGAUUAGCUUGUUGGUGGGGUA